UGUUUAGGCACUCAUGUAAUCGCUAUGAUAAGCAAAAGAACAAAAUAGGUAAUACCGCUAAAAAAAAGUCUAAUGUUGCUCUUCAAAGAUGUCAGUUCUACUAUAAACGUUAUCUUAACCAUGAGCAAAGCUUAAAAUUUGAACACUUGCUUUAUGCCUGGGCUAAAGUUAAAAUGGAGGAAAUGAUGCGACAGCAGUUGUCUUGGAUAGAGGUAAAGUUUCUUAAAACAGCUGUAGAUGUAUUGUGCAUGUGUCGUCAAACGCUCAUGUUCACUUAUGUCUUUGCACAUUUCUCCAAUAAAAGUAAUCAAUUUGCUAUAUU